GGGGGAUUAGCUCAGUUGGCUAGAGCGCUACAAUGGCAUUGUAGAGGCCAUCGGUUCGAAUCCGAUAUUCUCCA
rfam:Spirosoma sp. 48-14 SCNpilot_cont_300_bf_scaffold_179, whole genome shotgun sequence.